CAGUUAAAAUUAUUUAAAAUUAUUUAAAAUCGUUAUAUAUAUAUAUAUUUUUUUUAAUGUUUUAAUUUUGAAUUAUUUUGAACUAUGUGUUGAAAACUUAUAAGAUAAACCAUUUUGUGAUGAAAUUUGGCCGGGCUACGACACAGUUAAAGAAUCAUACUUUCCCGAAAUCCUGAAAAUAAUUUUAAAGAUAAGUUUGUUUUGUACUGUCACGCUAGCUAAUACCUUCCCAUGAUGCCUGUGGUUCCCAAAACCAUGUCCAGGAUCACGUGACGGCAGCCUGGGUUGGGGUAAAUGUAUUUAUGAACAAUUCAUGCAUGUGUGAAAUUGUUUUAGAAUUAAAAGAAUGCAUUUUUCUACAUA